UCCCUGAUGGCUCAGACAGUAAAGAAUCUGCCUGCAAUGCAGGAGACCCAGGUUCGAUCCCUGGUUGGGGAG
rnacentral:tRNA from 1 species